GAGGAAAUUAUAUCGGAGUAAAACAAGACCACGCCCACUGAAGUUCCUUAAGUUUCGUUUCUUCCGCCAUCUUGUCAUCCCGCAGUGGAAACGGAGGCGACGGUUAGCUAUGUGCCAGGAGCAUUAUUACAAUGCAGAAGAUGGAAGUGGGUAUUUGGCUUGGAGACUGAAGUUUGUACAGAGGGAAGCUUCUAAUGGACAAAAAAAUGUCCCCAGACUGUCACAAACCCAAACAGGGGGACCAACAACUGAUAAGAGAGACUGUUUGAGAGAAGAAGACUAUCUUCUGACAGAUCGCUUGUGUUCAUAACAGUCUCUUCAUCAGCUGUGUGCUUC